rnacentral:rRNA from 1 species
GACGAAGGGGGCUAGCGUUGUUCGGAAUUACUGGGCGUAAAGGGUGCGUAGGCGGUUGUUUAAGUCUGUCGUGAAAUCCCCGGGCUCAACCUGGGAAUGGCGAUGGAAACUGGGCAGCUAGAGUGUGGCAGAGGAUGGUGGAAUUCCCGGUGUAGCGGUGAAAUGCGUAGAGAUCGGGAGGAGCAUCAGUGGCGAAGGCGGCCAUCUGGGACAACACUGACGCUGAAGCACGAAAGCGUGGGGAGCAAACAGG